AGAAAGUGCUAAGAGUUCCGUGGUGUUGGCUUAGCAGUGAAGAAGAUGAAACCAAAACCUUUUUCUCUUCAAUGAACCUCUCGUUCGACUCAUUUGUAAUAAUCUUGUAAUCUUAUUCUUAGCUUUGAUUAAUCUUGUUCUUAGCUUUUCUUCAGUGAGGAUUAUUACAGUUGUUUUCAUUUAAAAUAUCGUUGUAUCUGACGAGCUAAAAUGUUUAUUAAAUAUGAGAGGUUCACUAAACAGCAAAAGGUUCCGGUUUCAUCUUCUUCAACACUAAGCCACCACCAUGGACCUUAUAGCACUUUCUUGUGAAGAUGAACGUAAAGUAUCUAUACUUUGUCGAUGGUAAUACUUUUUACAAAAUUACCGGUGUCGCCAAUGAGUCUAGCGGCACCUCUAGUUAUCAGGCUGUUUGAGUUUUCUCGGAGCUUAUCCUUGGUCUCCUACUGCAAGUAACAGCUAUCAUCUAUAAUAAGAUAACAGUUCUUCAAUCACUUACCUGAGCCAUAAUAAGCGGAUAAGAACUGAUAUCUCCAGAGUAAUCAGCCGUGGGAACCAGUUUCCUCAGUUUUGAGCAGGGAGUAAAGCCGUCGAGAUCAUCCAUGGCCUAUGUAGUUUCAGCUUCUAUCCACAGAACACCCUCUGCGUUGCAUAAUAUCUCGAGCCUACCAUUUUCAUCACGCCCCAACCUCCCAGCCAUAGGAUAGAAUUGCACAAGAGUCUUGCUUAAAGCCUCCUGUAGCACUUGAGGCUUAAAGAAAUCAGAGGAGCCAUUUGGUUUGUAGAAAAACAGCAAAGGGAGAUGGUAUGUUGUCAUCACCACGUCCAGAUUUGAAAUCCAUUGCCUUUCUUUAGGAGUAUCUUGAGCAGGGCGUAUCAUGCUCCAUCUCUUUACACUAACAUCCAUUGAUGUUCUGGUCAGAGGCAAACCUGUUGAUGAAAAACUGACAGAAGGGAAAGUCAGAAAGUGUCCGGCUAUCUUAAGCAAAGGCGAGGUUCUCUUCUAGGGUUUUUUUUAAUAAAAGUAACCCAAGUUUUGUGAAUAAUUACGAAAAUAAUUCAACUUCUACAGUGAUUGUCGUUGACGCCA